UGAUGCGGAGGGAUGACAGUUAUGUGACGAAAAAGGUAUUACGAAUGAAUGUGGAGGGAAGUAACGGGAGAGGAAAUCCGAGAAAAAGGUGGAUGGACUGUGUGAGAGAUGAUAUGAAACGAACGCAAGUGAAUGAUGAGAUGACGGGCGAGAGAGAGGUAUGGAAGAAAAAGACAUGCUGCGCCGACACCAAAUGAAUGGGAUAAGGGCAAGCGAAUGAUGAUU